UUUUCUUAAGAAAUUCAUUUUCGACAAGGUUUACAAAAUGGUGCAUGUUCAUGGUGCCUUCAUUUAUCUUCUAUUUCAUAUGUUGAAUUUAGGGAGGUUAUACGUCCAAUUCAUGAGCAAGUCUAUCUAUUUCAAUAAUGAAAAUAAAAUAGCAAGCUUUCUUUAUUCAUAGGUUAAAAACGACAACCCAAAAGUUUCAUCUCGGGGGUUGAGUGGUGUUUAUUCCAUAGGGCAACAACAAUAAUCAACAUCUUUGCAGUAGCCUCCAGGGUUUAUGCAAUACUUGUAGCACGCCUUGUUAGUGCAUUUAGGAAACUUCAUUGGAUAGCAACUUUCAGGUAGUGGUAUUGCAUCUGCAUGUAUCUGCACAAAAUGAACACACGUCGUUAGUCCUAUAACAUGGUAUGAAAUUUGUCAUAUUUUGUUUAGCAUAACAAUAUAUAGACAAUUUUUAUGGAGAGUUGAACAUUAUAUAUUGAAAAUAAAGUUCCAUUUUGGGGAUUCAGAAAGGAAGCUAUAUAGCAUAACCUCAUUGUUCGCAUGGCAUGGGGACACAAUAGUAGCCAGUACCAUGAGAGCCACCAAAAAGAAGGGACCAAGAUUCAUCUUGAAGGUUGCCAUUUGGUGAGGCCAACAAGUGACUUCUAUGCUCAAUUGUUGUGCUAAUAUGCGGUGUGUUUCAAAGUUCACUUUGACGGUGUUUAUAUAGGUGCCUAUUGAUGCAUUUUUCGAGUAUUUAUUUGAAAAUAAAUCUAGUAUCUUCUAUAUCAAAAUAUUGGCUGCCAAAUCAAUAAUUAAAUGGGGUAAUAUAAUAUAUUGUGUGUUAAUAGCACCUCACACAUGUAGAAUGCAUUAGUUGUGUACAAUUAUACAACAUCAUUUGUAGAAAAUCUUUCUGUAUCAAUUAAACACAUUAGUUUUGAUAGGUAAAUCAAAUGCCCUAUGUAUCGAUAAUAUCUUUAGUGAGAUAAAUGGAUUAAUAUUGUACAUCAAUUCAAUAUUUUGUGUAUCAAUGUGGGGUAAAAUAAAAUAAGUACAAUAUCAUCAAUAUGAAUAUUUUAGCUAUCACAUCAAUCGUUUAAUGGGACAACAUACUUUUUUCAAUAACACUUGGCACAUGACGAAUGCAUUAUUUGUGAAUAAUUAAUAACAUAUCUUUUGAAUAAAUUAUUUGUAUCAAAGGAAUUAAUUAGUUUUUACAUGUAUAAAAUAUAUAUUUCAUGAGAAAUUAGUAAUUUUGUAUAAGGAGAUAAAUGCAUUAAUUAUGAUACAUUAAUGCAAUAUUUAUCAUCAAUAUCUUCAGCCAUAAAGUGAAAGCACUAACUAUGGGAAAAAUCUGUGUUAGCCACUGACAGUGGUGGCCUAAUAACAACCUUGCUCAAUGUAUUGUGCACAAUGUGUUUUGACUUGAGUUAUAUUGUUUGGAAGCUUGAUAAUCCCCAAUUGAGGGCAGUUAUUGUAGCACUUUUCAAACUCGAGGUAAUAAUUUUGGAGUGUCGAAGCAAAGGGAUCUAAAGGUAGGAUUCGUAUUCUCUCAUGUUCUAUCUACUAAUGAUAGUAUCAAAUGGACACCGAAUGCUUGCUUUACCUAGAAACAAUGAAUACAACUACUUUACAUGUAUAAAAGGAUUGAUGGGUGAUAUUUUUAUACUCAUUUCACCUUUGCUCAAACCGAGGUAUUUCAUUUAAAAAUAGAUAUUCGCUCCGAUAUUGGUACUAAUGACUAAUGAAUGCAAAGGGUUUUACAAACCCUCUCUUUGAUGUGUUUCCACAAAAAAUGGACUAAAAAUGGAAGAAAUCUCGCGUGGAAAUUAAAUGGAAGGAGAAUGAAGGAAGAAGGUAUCAACAGGAGGCGUUCUAUGAAGACAGAGCAAAAGCUGACAUUCCAUAUGGGUGCCCGUGCCUGUAUGGUGUGGAUUUCGAGACAAAUCGUACACCUGAACGACUUUAAUUAAAGGACUCAAAUGAAAUGCCAACAGAACAACAAGCACAAAAGCUAGAAACAUCUUCUUCAUCCACAAACCCUAGACGCCGCCAUCUCCAUCGCCAUAGCCAUAUCCACCACCACCAUAGUGCUCUCUCAUCUAGUUCAUACUUCUAAUCAUGUAUCACACAAGGCAUCCAUUGUAAAACCUAUUUGUAAUCAAUCAGUCCAAGAUGUGUUCUUCAAUGUUUUAUUCCCGCGAUCCAAUCUCGAUGUGUGAGUAGUUCGGUAAGAUAUGGGUUGAGGCAUGAGCAUUGCAAACCAAUUUAUUUGUUGAGGGGAUCAAUGGAAGACUUUUACAUAGCAUCCGGUUUGUGUGAAAUAAAAUUUUCCGUGAAGAUGUCUCUUUCCUUGUAUGUGAUCUUCAUCCUUGCAGGUAGCCAGGAUCAUGGAGAUCGAGCACUGGUGAGGCUUGGGACAAGGAGGCCACGAAAUGUUAUACCGAACACUGGUGACAGUAAAGUUCAGUAGGGUAACAUGGAUCAUAUCCUUGGGGAUAAAUGAGGUGUACUCAUUAAGCGCCCAAAGCCCUUUUCUUAUUUUAUUAUCUUAACUAUCAAGGAUCCCUGCACGAUAGAUAGGACCUGCGGUAGGAAAACUGAUUCUUCAUGUAGGACUCUUGUCGGUCAAGAUGUUAUUUGGACACAUCCCCCACUCUGAUCCAUCACAAGCACAUCUCGAUUGGUGAUAUCUAUAGCACAAAUUAAUAUCCUAUUUGAUCCCAGUGCAAAUACAAGGUUGUAAGCAUAAGACCUUAUACUCGUACCUAUCUUUAUUAUAAGUGUUUGAAUUACUGGUUGCUUAUUGAUCCGGUCAAAAGCUGGAUUUGACUCUUUGACAAAAGCUUGGGAGACACCAUCGCUUCAAGGGAAUGCUCCUCUUGUGGCUUCAAUAACCCAGGGUCACCUUUAGGGAAAUAGGUAUGGGAUAUUCUUUUCUGUUCCAAUACUGGACAAACGAACGCAUUUUCCUGGGAGUUUUAGUUGAGACACAAGAUCAAACGGUCGCAGUUUCGGGAAUGUUAUCUGGCGAGUGGGCCCAGUUUUUAUUUUCUUCCUAUAAAAAGUAUGCUACGUGGUGUCGGCUUAGUCAACAAACGAUUGUGCCAACCUUGACCGUUCAAUUGACAUUCAACGCCUAUUAUUUUUCUUGAUUCUCUUCUUACUCCAGCCGCCAAAGCCAGACUAGUGCCGGCGACAUUGCCUGCUCCCGCCUCCCACAGUUGGCUGUGCUACCGCGCACGCAUCAUGGCCACAUCGCACCCUAAAACCCUGUGCACCUUCCCCGGCUCUUAUUCGUUUCCGUCCGAUGCAUCACCAUCGUCCUCCAUGUUGGUUCCCUGGCCGCGGCACGGCCCUUCGGUGUUUUCAACAUGGUUAACAACUGAGAAGAAUAAGCAGAUGAUUGUACAUGGUGAGGAUGACAGUAGGGACCCACCAGGAUCAUAGCAGUAGGCAAGCAAGUGCCUCCUUUAUUACAAGAAAAAAAGGUUCCUCCUAAUGGUUUCUAGACAUCUGGGUCACACGCCACUGUCAACGUAGUCAAUAAGCAAGAUAAUUGAGCACGAAGCGGCUGACACCCGGGACCCAACAGCGCGCAUACUAUUUUCUUGUUUUCAGGGCGGAGAAGGGUAUCAACUAGGUUGUGUGGGAGCUGUGACCCGUCUAGCCCAGGCUUUCAUUUCAUAUGUUUACCAAAUGACCAACCAAGUUUUUUCCCUUUCUGAAAAUGGUUAGCCCAACUAUUUUUUUUGCAGAAUAUCCAACAUAGGCCUACUUGCUUUUCUACGCCCUCCUAGGCUAAAAAUCUUUCAACACGAGGAGGGGUGCAUUCGGGGUUGCCUAGAAAAUGGGCUAUAAGUAAUAAGAAAUGGGUUGUAAGAUGAAAAAAUACAGCAAAUAGGCAAUUAGUUCCAAAAUACUUUUUGAUUUUUGAUUUUGAUAUUUUUAAAUUUCAUUAUUUUUGUGCGGGUAAAAUUUCAUUGGAUUUAAAUUAAGGUAUGUUUAGAUUUUAUAUUAAUUUCAAAUAUGGCUAGAAAUUUCAGGUUGUAUACUAUUUGGGAUAGAUUUGGAGGCUGACUUGUGGGUCUACUAGGUUGACGUGUAUGAAAGGCAUUGUCAAUUUAGUCCACAAAUGAUUCUAGCAGUAGUGGCCACAGAAUGUUAAUGCAACGGCCCUGUUGCUUCUUCAAUAUCUGACCCUCUUGCUCUUGCCGCCCAAACCAGCACCGGUGGGACUGUCUGCUCCCGCCUCCCAUGGCCGGCUGUGCUGCCGCACAGGCCACACCGCCCCACCCUACUCCAUCGCUGGCCAGGCUAUUCCUCUACUCACCCACACCUCCAGUUAUUUUCCAACGACGACAGCCGAACCAGUAAACCCUCGUACUCCCCACUGCGUGGGCAACCACUGUCAUGUCUUCCUCGGCUCCGGGUCGUUCCCUUCCUAGUCCUCACCAUCGUCCACCGCCCUGGUGCUAUCGGUGCGGCGUGGUGAAUGUGGUCAACGAAUGACAUCCAUUAGAAGAGGAUUGUACGUGGAAAGGCUAACAGCUGGGUCCACGACCGUAUGCAAGUAAGUGCCUCCUUGUUACGCGCAAAAUAAUGAUUCCUCCACUUGACAACGGGGACCUGUCAGAAGGACCUCUAUAUUUCACGAAAAAAAUGUUCCUCCCGCUGAUAGCUCGGACCCACCAGCUAUAUCUUUGCACACAAGGAAGUGCCUCCUUAUUACACAAAAAUUACUCCCCUGCUAGCUGGAACCCACCAUAUUUGGAGGAUGACAUGUGGGCCCACUAAGUUGAUGGGGACGCAUGAUUUGUCAACUUAGUCAAUAUAAACGAUUCUAGCUACAGCAAUCGUACAGUGUCCAUCCAACACCCGUCGUGCUUCUUCAACCUCUGAUCUUCCUGCUCCAGCCGCCCAAACCAUCGCCGAUCGUGUCGCAUGCUCCUACGUCCCGUGGCCGUCUGUUCUGCCACGGAGGCCUCACCACCCCACCCUACUAUCAUCGCUGGCCUGGUCAUCCCUGUACUCAGCCAGACCUCUUGUUAUUCUCCGGGGAUGGCAGCCUCACACUAUAGCCGUAGCAGUAAACCCUUGUACUCCCCUCCGUGUGGGAAACAACUGCCGAGUCUUCCAUGGCUCAUGGUCAUUCCCUUUGUAGGCCUCGUCGUUGUCCCUGCCUUGGUGCUCUCGAGGCGGCGUGGUAAACGUGGUCAAGCAACAACUUCCAUCGGAAGAGGACUGUACGUGGAGAGGCUGACAGCUGGGUCCACGACCGCAGCAAGGAAGUGCCUCCUUAUUACGUGCAAAAUAAUGAUUCCUCCACCUAACAACGGGGAUGCAUCGGAAGGGCCACCGUAUUUUGCGAAAAAAACUUUUCCUCCCUGACAGCUGGAACCCACCAACUACAUCUUCGCGCGAAAGGAAGUGCGUCCAUACUGCAGGAAAAAUAAUGAUUCUUCCCCCUGACAACUAGGACCCACCAGCUAUAUCUUCGCACGCAAGGAAGUGCGUCCUUAUCCUCCCUGGCAGCUGGGACUCACCCGAUCGAAGCAUACGUAGCGUUGUCUGUCUGGUCGCGAACGUGUACGGACAUACUUGUCGAUUGGUCUCUCUGCAGCGAUGAACUGUGGCCGAGUAAGGAGCGGCACGUGUCAUAGUAGAGGCGCCGAUGUAGCAUGUCAUGGAGUCCCGUCUAUAUCAUGUACACGUACGUACAACCAUGCUGCAAGAAAGUAAAUACGACGACGUACGUACAUAUGGGUGGGGUCUCGAACACGUACAACAAUGUCGUCCUCUUCAUCGGCAGCCAACCGGCUAGGACACAAAGGAGGAAACAACAGUGUGUUCAUCGGGAGGCAAUCAACUAGGUCAAAAUACAUCGUGUUCAUCAGGAGCUGACCGGCUUGGACGGAACAGCCGAAACGAGGUCUGGCGUACCGUAGAAUGGAGGAAAUGACCUUCUGUUCGACCGUGUAUGAUCGAAACAGGGUACUGUUCAUCGGGAAGGUGCGGUGUAUCAAAAAAUGGAGGAAGCAGAAUUCUGUUUGAGAGCCUACGGUCGAAACAGGGUCAUGAUGAUCAGGAGGGGUCUGGCGUACCGCAAAACAGAAGAAACGGACUUCUGUUGGAGUGCCUACGGUCGAAACGGGGUCCUGUUCAUCCACCGUCUACUGCCUCGCUCCAGCCUCCACGGGGUACUGUUCAUCCAGCCUCCACCGGCUACUGUUCAUAGAGCCUCCACGGGAUCCUGUUCAUCCACCCCCAACCAGCUGGUGUGCAACGGCCUCCUCGGGGACCUAUUCAUCUAGCGGCAAUGACCUACUACCACGGGGUAUGAUUCAUCCAACCCCCACUGGGAAUUGUUCAUCCACAACUGACCAACCGGCUUGACUCACCACGUCUUGACUCGUUCUACAUACCACGCGCACGGUAGCAACGGUCACAGUUCAUCGAGAGGCAACCCAACACCGGCUGGCUACGUCUCAUACGGGGGCUCGAUUGGCUCAGUAAAAAGCAGUGGUGAUCGAUCGCUCGGGUUCAGUUAGCAGUAGAAGUGAAGGAACCGCUCGGGUUCAGUCAGUAGCAAAUGAAAUGCUCGGGUUCGGUUAACAGCCAAGGGAUUGAUUGCUCGGGUUUAGUAAUGUGCGAUUGCUCGGAUUCAGUUAGCCAAUGCCUCGCACACAUGCGUGUACAUGAGAGAAACGGGCAAACCAUAGUGCAUCGCUCGGCCCCGACCACCCACCGUAACCGGAACUCCCCGAUAUUUUCCUUGCCCUCGCAUCUACCAUGAUUUUUUCUCAUGGACGGCCCAAAGAAUGUCAUGCAGCUGCAUCUCCGGCCCGCCUAGGACGAAAAGCCCAUUUUCUGGCAUGAUUUUUUGUCAUAAAAGUGGAGCCCACCACAUCUAUGAUGAUACGUGUUUUUUCAUAAUCAACGUCAUAGAUGUAUCAUCACCAUGACAAAAAAUUCAUUCGGGCCAAAAUGUCAUAGAUGUGUCUUUUUUUGUAGUGAAUGGUUGUGUGGAGAGGCCUUGGGCCGAGGUGACAGGGAAGAGAAUGGCCCAGCAACAAUUUUUUAUUUGUUAAUACAUCUAACGAUUAAACCGGCUAUAGUGCCACUAUAGGUUUACUAUUGGGGUAUCAUACGACCUCCGAAUGCGAGGAAAUUUGACAGCCAAUCUACCUAAAAUGUAAUAAGAUCGCACGUCAACUUUAAACCCAUUCUGAGAAUGUUUUAUUCCCACUUGGAAAAUAAUUCUUUAACGAUGUCACGUGGCAUGUGCAAGUGUGUGGUUGGUCCCAGAACGGUCAAUGAAGACAACAGAAAGAAGUGGCAACUACCAACGGAUGCAAGUUUUUUUUUUUAAAUGACAGCAACGGAGUGUUGAUCCAAUGCGAAUGAUGCGAUGAUGAAUGCAACAAAUAUAUCUAUAUAUAUAAUGUGACUAUCAUGAAAAUAUGGAAGGCAUCUGGAAUGUUUGUCUCGGGUUGUUACACCAGUGGCCUACAUGGGCAUAGUGUGUGCCUUGCCAGAGGAAAUCUCUCACCGGUCUAUUUUGCUUCUCAAGGGAUUCCUUGGGCCAAAGAAAAUAGGCCAUGCAGUAGUUUGGUAUGGCAGCCAAAACGGAGUUGAUCAUGAUGACGUGCCCUCCCCAAGAAUGGAAGGUCGCAUGCCACCCUGAUAACCUUUUGUCAACACGCUGCAUAACUGGCAUCAUUAGUCCAAGGAAAAUCUUGUUUAUUGAUAGCGGCAGUCCUAGGUAGGUGCACGAAAAAUUAGACAGGGGGCAUCACAUGACUUCGGCAAUCUGUAUAACUACUUUGUGCUGUACUCCAAUAGGCAACAGAGUGCUUUUAUGGAAGUUAAUCUCAACCCAGUGAAUGGAGAGGAGUUGAGAAUUCCCUUUAAAACUUUUGCCAGGGAGGAGGGGAGUGAUGUUCAUGAGAUUUAAUUGGAUAUUUGAACAAUUUAUAUGGAUAGUAUUUAUGUUUUCUUAAGAAAUUCAUUUUCGACAAGGUUUACAAAAUGGUGCAUGUUCAUGGUUCAUUCAUUUAUCUUCUAUUUCAUAUGUUGAAUUUAGGGAGGUUAUACGUCCAAUUCACGAGCAAGGCUAUCUACUUCAAUAACGAAAAGAAAAUAGCAAGUUUUCUUUAGUCAUAGGUUAAAAACGACAACCCAAAAGUUUCAUCUCGGGGGUUGAGUGGUGUUUAGUCGAUAGGGCAACAACAAUAAUCAACAUCUUUGCAGUGGCAUCCAGGGUUUAUGCAAUACUUGUAGCACGCCUUGUUAGUGCAUUUAGGAAACUUCAUUGGAUAGCAACUUGCAGGUACUCGUAUUGCAUCUGCAUG
rnacentral:lncRNA from 1 species